UAUUUAUAUAUGAUAAGUAAUCAAUGCCAAUAUAAGUUCCAAAAGCGCCAAAUUUCGAAUUUUUUGGUGGCGAAACUCAAAGUAAAGAAAUAAAACUAUGAAAAAACAUCAAGGUUUCGAAUGGUCCAAAACCCGACGCUCAAAGUUCUGAAGGUGCAAAAUUCCAAAUGGACCAAAU